rnacentral:siRNA from 1 species
AGUGUCGAUUGGAAUGGAUACCACU